GACGUAGGAGGCGAGCGUUGUCCGGAUUCAUUGGGCGUAAAGAGCACGCAGGCGGUUUGGCAAGUCGGAUGUGAAAGCCCGGAGCUCAACUCCGGACCUGCAUCCGAAACUGCCCGACUAGAGGUAGGUAGGGGAGAUCGGAAUUCCUGGUGUAGCGGUGAAAUGCGUAGAUAUAGGAAGGAACACCAGUGGCGAAGGCGACCACCUGGACUGAUACUGACACUGAGGUGCGAAAGCGUGGGGAGCAAACAGG
rnacentral:rRNA from 1 species